AAGCAAGCCCCCAGGAACAGUGCAUACUUCCGCAAUCCACCAGUGCUCAGCAGCCAAGCCUGGUAUUGCAGCUGUUUAAGCGGGCUGUGGACGGGUCCCUCGAUUCAUGGGACCCAGAAGUAGAUAUCUCCGUUCACUCCAAUACAAGUGGGGAACAGGAAUGUGUCUCCGCAAAAAAUGUCUGGAGAUCAAUCAAAGGCUCAUAAUUAUCUUCAUGCCAUGUCCUAAAAAAAUUUAAGUUUUUUCUUUUCAAAACGCCACCUCAAGCGUUUUAUUAGCCGUUCUCUCUAAUUAUUUUUUGCUGGAGAAAGAGGUGUGCAGCUGAAAGGAGUCGUAGUGAAACAAAUGUUGUUUCGACCUGGCAUCCGAGAGGGCAUAGUUCAGUGCUCCGUUAACGUGUCCGAUUUUUAGACUGGUUCAGCUGCUGCUCAAUAACUCUCACGGUCCUCUGCUUGCGAUCAUGUCAUGGUCUGUCGGUUUCCUUGUCUUGUUUUGGUGUGUCUGUUUUACUUUGGUAUCGGUCUUGUUUCUCCACAUGUCAGGUUUCCCUCCUGUUUGAUUACUGCUCCCUCCCCUAAUGUGUUUCAGCUGUUACUCGUUGCGUGCCCUGUGUGUGUUUUGUAUUUAAGCCCUUGUCUUUCCUUUGUUCCUGGUCGGAUCAUUUUAGUUUGUGGUGAGUUGUGUCCUGUGUGUUCCCCGUGUUCCCGGUGAUCACGGUGUUCACUGUGUUACCCGCGUCACCCGUGUUCUUUGCCUUUUGAGUUAAUAAAUUACCCUUUUACCCGAACUGUCCUACCUGCCUGCCUGCCACCCGCUAACCGUGACGGAUCAUUGUGAUUCACCAUAUAUUGAUCCAUUUAUUCAAAAGAUCCAAAGACAAAGAACAGGUGCAUUACGGUAUCAUUUUAUAUUAUUGUUAAUAGUCUAACAUUUCAGCGUUGGUAUUUAAUUUUUCAUUAGCUUGUUUAGCUACCUAUGUAUGACAGUUAACAAUGUUGGUGUAUUACAAUUAUUUAUGUGUGUAGGCCACUCCAACUUCGUUGCUGGUUGAAAUGUAACCAUUUAUUUGUACAUAUGUUAUUGAUUGCAUUUUUCGUAAAUAGUUAGUUGGAAGGAAUCUGUUUCUAAGCAGUGUGACACUUGGAGCUUGCAUGACGGAGCACAAGUUGGCACAAAGCACUCAAAAAUGCAAAAAGACAUUGUUCAAUUAUAGACUUGGAGCUUGCAUAACGGAGCACAAGGCAUAGUUUAAUAGUGCAUUUCUUUUUGAACAGCACAUCCGAUCAAUGACCUCUGUAAUUUUUGUACGUUCAAAUGUAUGCCCAUCACUAACUGAGUUUAUUAUUAUUAUCUAUUAUUACUUUUAUUUUCUUCCCUUUUCUUAAUGUUAUGUGUAUUUCGUUUUUAAGAUAAAACAAGAGAAACCCAAACAUAUCUUAUGGUCUCGUAUUUAUGUAAAUGUUUCAUGUAUUUAUGUUUAUUUACAUGUUGUGACUGUCUGAGUUUGAUGUGGGGUCUAUGGUCUCUUUGUGAUGUGAGUCUUUGUUCUAUGUUCCCACUCUUGGCCUGCACCUUGACGUGGUGAGUGGGCUUUAAACUAAGACUUAGUUUUAUUUUUUUGUUUGUUAUUGAUUGUCAGUCUAUCUUAUUAAUGAAACAAGGCCUUAACUAAACCCCUUCUCUUCUGUUUGCAGAAACUGGAAACAUCAGAGUAUAUUUUAUCUGAAGUUAGAAAAUCUUUGUUUCCUCAUCAGAUCCCAGUCCAUCAUGCUCCCCUACUUGUCUGCCGUGCCACCAUCAUGCCUCAUGCAUCACUUCUCAGCGCCCUGCCCAGCUGCAUCUUAUUCCGUUACUCCAGCUCAUUCCAGCUCUUUCCCAUGAGUGACAAACACGCCUCACCCAAGUGUUUUUAAUAUUUUAUCAAUUAUGCAUGUAAGGUGUGCUGAAAGGUGUCCAUCAAUAAAAUGCUUAUUAAUAUAACAUUAUGGCUCCAUCAAAAGCAAAGUACACCUGCCAUUUACAGUUAUCAUUUAUACUAUCCUAGACAUCUUUAAUCCUAUUUACAUAGGCCUACAGUAGGCCUGAUUUCCUCUGAAUGUUUAAAUAAAAAAAUUCCCUGUCCA